rnacentral:rRNA from 1 species
UAACCUGCCCAAGAGAUCGGGAUAACACCUGGAAACAGAUGCUAAUACCGGAUAACAACAGAUGAUGCCUAUCAACUGCUUAAAAGAUGGUUCUGCUAUCACUCUUGGAUGGACCUGCGGUGCAUUAGCUAGUUGGUAGGGUAACGGCCUACCAAGGCGAUGAUGCAUAGCCGAGUUGAGAGACUGAUCGGCCACAUUGGGACUGAGACACGGCCCAAACUCCUACGGGAGGCAGCAGGG